rnacentral:rRNA from 1 species
GAUGAACGCUGGCGGCGUGCCUAGUACAUGCAAGUCGAGCGAACAGACGAGGAGCUUGCUCCUCUGACGUUAGCGGCGGACGGGUGAGUAACACGUGGAUAACCUACCUAUAAGACUGGGAUAACUUCGGGAAACCGGAGCUAAUACCGGAUAAUAUAUUGAACCGCAUGGUUCAAUAGUGAAAGACGGUUUUGCUGUCACUUAUAGAUGGAUCCGCGCCGCAUUAGCUAGUUGGUAAGGUAACGGCUUACCAAGGCGACGAUGCGUAGCCGACCUGAGAGGGUGAUCGGCCACACUGGAACUGAGACACGGUCCAGACUCCUACGGGAGGCAGCAGUAGGGAAUCUUCCGCAAUGGGCGAAAGCCUGACGGAGCAACGCCGCGUGAGUGAUGAAGGUCUUCGGAUCGUAAAACUCUGUUAUUAGGGAUGAACAAAUGUGUAAGUAACUAUGCACGUCUUGACGGUACCUAAUCAGAAAGCCACGGCUAACUACGUG